UGUGGCUUUUCGCCGGAAGAUAGUGGCUUGUCCUUUAGGAAUUCUCUGAUCAAGGCUAAAGUAAAGGCUUGAUAUUUCUCCACUCUGUACUCUGACUGAUAUGAGUUCUCUCUUGAACUCUUGAUCUCCACCUCUGAACUCUAGAACUGCUGACCCCUGAACUCUGCUCCUCAACUCCACUGAACUCUACCUAGACUCCACUGAACUGCACUUGAAUUGCGCAGACCCUGAACUGAACUACACAGGAAAUGCCACCCCUUAUGAGGGAAGGCUAAACUAAAGCCCAUUGGCCAGGCAGCUGUGGACCAUAGAGUUGUCUGUCUCUCCCUUGGGAUUAACAAUAAAGUUGCAUACAAGCAAUAACAUAAUACCUUACACAAAAGUUUAGUCUAGCCCUCAGUCCUCCACUCUCACAUACCCUGACUGAGCAUGAGGUUGCUAGGUAACGUACUUAAAGCUACAGAAACCUAAUAACAGAUUAUUAAGUUAUAACAGUGCAAAUACAUAUUAGAAAUGGUUGAGUCUCUGCAGGGGAGCCCCCAGGACACUGGAGGUCUCAAUCUGACAGGGCCUACAAUACCUUGACACAAUAUAGCUGUACUGAGACACCAAAAUAUGUUAUCCUGAGCAUUCAAUGUAUCUGUUAUAAAGGACACGAGAUGAAUGAGAUUCAUUAUUUCAUAGUAAACCUGGAGAAGGAAAAAAAACUCUGAAGGUUACAUCAGGGUAUUCGGGUCACACACCGCUCAUCAUCCACACUUUGUAACAAAUUCUAAUAGAAGAAGUGACUCAGACAAGGUGUCUCUGGUCACCCAAGCGUGGAAUCUCAUCCGGAGGAGCAGCAGGUUCCGCAGGUGUAGCAUCCAGGUCUUCAUCGCCGUCCACAUCGGUCCGAGGGCCCAGGGGUAGAUCUCGCGUCGAAACAUCUCAUCCUCUUCAAACUGGUUGGCAAGAAACCUAAAAGGAAGAAAAAAAUAAAGAAAUAAAAAUUAUACAACAAGAGGAAGAGGAGAAGAACCAUUGGUUGGCUCUUCGGAAGUAGAUGAGGACCAUGGCCAGGAGAUACUAGAGGGAUGAGAAGAGUUAGAGGCUGGUAAUACAUUUCUUAUCUAAAUACAUUCUAUUAUACAGUACCUGUAUGUCUCCAGUAUAACCCUGUAUUUACUUCUAUCUGUAUAACAUCUAUUCUUUCCCUUUAUAUACUACCUUGUCCGCGAUCUUAUAGCAGCUGUCCCUGCCUAGAAAUAGCUGGAUGUGUCC